rnacentral:rRNA from 1 species
GACGAAGGAUGCAAGCGUUAUCCGGAUUCAUUGGGUUUAAAGGGUGCGUAGGCGGCCCUGUAAGUCAGUGGUGAAAUCUCUCAGCUUAACUGAGAAACUGCCAUUGAUACUGCAGGGCUUGAGUACAGAUGAUGUUGGCGGAAUAUGACAUGUAGCGGUGAAAUGCAUAGAUAUGUCAUAGAACACCGAUUGCGAAGGCAGCUGACAAAACUGUAACUGACGCUGAGGCACGAAAGUGUGGGGAUCAAACAGG